UACGAAGGGGGCUAGCGUUGUUCGGAUUUACUGGGCGUAAAGCGCGCGUAGGCGGUCUAUCAAGUCAGGGGUGAAAUCCCGGGGCUCAACCCCGGAACUGCCCUUGAAACUGGCAGACUAGAAUCUUGGAGAGGUCAGUGGAAUUCCGAGUGUAGAGGUGAAAUUCGUAGAUAUUCGGAAGAACACCAGUGGCGAAGGCGACUGACUGGACAAGCAUUGACGCUGAGGUGCGAAAGCGUGGGGAGCAAACAGG
rnacentral:misc_RNA from 1 species